CUUUAUUGAAUGUUCCUCCCAUUAGCCAGUCUGAAUGUGCAGUUGCUUCCUAUGGAUUCCAGCAGGCAGUCAUGGUGGCAGUGGCUAUGGAUGCUUUUUAAUUUUUAUUGCUUUUACUUUCCUCAGAUUCGUCGCUUCUCCAACAAUUUUUAUAGUGAUUUGAAUGGUGUGAUGACAAUUCAAGCAAAACCACUUCAGCAGAGACCGACCUAUUUUGCAGAUAUGACGCAGAAUGAACAAGAGGACAAAUCACUGAGUGUGGGGGCUAGUAGCCUUUCUGCGGCCCGCCACCGUCUGGGACGAAUCUCAGACUCCUGCUGACUACAGACUCCUGCAAAGAAGACACCGGUACACAGGAGGCUGCCUUCUCUCACUUUGGACUCACAGAGAAUGAAAACCCCCAAUGUGGACAGUGAGGAGGUGCUUAGGGGAACAAGACUGCAAACUGGCAUGGACCACAUGUCCUCCCCACCAGUCCACACCGCACGGAGCAGGUUACCCCCCAUAGGCCCCGAGCCUGCUGAGCAGAAGGUGGCAGUUCCUGGAUCUCGGCCUGUCUCUUGUAGAAGCAAUCCCUUCUUCAGCCAAGCUCAACUCAGUCCUGCAGAUGGAAAAGGCCUGGGGAAGCUAUGCUGCUGUACAGAGGAAGGCAUGCACAAAACCAUGUUUUAAGUGCAAUACCCGAUAGUGUAGAACGAUCACCUCUUCGAGAAAGAUCUCUGACUGUGGAACAGUUUUCAAGGCCCAGCACAACCCAUACGUUCUGGUCAGACACCCCUCGAAAAGGUUCAUUGACUCUGAUGGAGUUUGCUGGUCACACCUGGGCAGGUCAAGGUUUGCUGACAGGUUCGCAGUAUCCACCCAAGUCUUUUCAGAGGACAACUCUGACUUUAAGAAAGAGAUUCCAAGUGGCAUCUUGAUGUUGCUUCCCCAGAAUUGCAGCCUUUGCUGGGCCACCCAGAGCCUCUGCGACCACUUGUCACUUGAAAAACAGGAGAACAAGUAUUAUAUUAUGUGUCUGUUGGCACAGCAGUCUGUGAUAUUGGACUGUCUGAGAGAAAUGCAGACAAAUAAACAACUUAAUUGUGAACACUUUGCAUUGUAAACACAA